CUUGUUCCGUAUCAGCUCCAGC
rnacentral:siRNA from 1 species